rnacentral:rRNA from 1 species
AUUGAACGCUGGCGGCAUGCCUAACACAUGCAAGUCGAACGGGGCAGCAAUGCCUAGUGGCGGACGGGUGAGGAAUACGUAGGAAUCUGCCCUUAAGUGGGGGAUAACCAGGGGAAACCCUGACUAAUACCGCAUGAUCUCUUCGGAGCAAAGAGGGGGACCGCAAGGCCUCUCGCUUCUGGAUGAGCCUACGUCUGAUUAGCUAGUUGGUAGGGUAAAGGCCUACAAAGGCGACGAUCAGUAACUGGUCUGAGAGGAUGAUCAGUCACACCGGAACUGAGACACGGUCCGGACUCCUACGGGAGGCAGCAGUGGGGAAUAUUGGACAAUGGGCGCAAGCCUGAUCCAGCAAUGCCGCGUGUGUGAAGAAGGCCUUCGGGUUGUAAAGCACUUUAGCCUGGAAAGAAAAAACUUUGGUUAACACCCAAAGUCUUGACGGUACCAGGAGAAUAAGCACCGGCUAACUCUGUGCCAGCAGCCGCAGUAAGAC